GACAGAGGUGCCGAGCGUUAGGCGGAAUCACUGGGCUUAAAGCGUGUGUAGGCGGACCGUUAAGUACCUUGUGAAAUCCCACGGCUCAACCGUGGAACGGCUGGGUAUACUGGCGGUCUUGGGCCACCUAGGGGCAACUGGAACAAGCGGUGGAGCGGUGAAAUGCGUAGAUAUCGCGUGGAACGCCAACGGUGAAAACAGGUUGCUGGGGGUGUGCUGACGCUGAGACACGAAAGCCAGGGGAGCGAACGGG
rnacentral:rRNA from 1 species